UACGAAGGGGGCUAGCGUUGCUCGGAAUGACUGGGCGUAAAGGGCGCGUAGGCGGCUCAUACAGUCAGAUGUGAAAUUCCUGGGCUUAACCUGGGGCUGCAUUUGAUACGUGUGGGCUUGAGUGGGGAAGAGGGUCGUGGAAUUCCCAGUGUAGAGGUGAAAUUCGUAGAUAUUGGGAAGAACACCGGUGGCGAAGGCGGCUCACUGGUCCGGUACUGACGCUGAGGUGCGAAAGCGUGGGGAGCAAACAGG
rnacentral:rRNA from 1 species